UUAGCUCAUAUUUGUAUGGAAUGGGAUCGAUUGCCUACGUUUUCCGCUAGGGGCGCUGUUCCAACUGCAUACAAAAUUGGGCUA
rnacentral:pre_miRNA from 1 species